rnacentral:ncRNA from 2 species
AACUUAUCAAGAAAGGCAGAGGGAAAUGGCCCUAUGAUGCCUUGGCAACCCAUAUCGCUUACUCAGCGGUACGAAGGUGCCAAUUCCGACCACACGAAAGUGUGGGAAGAUAAGUC